AAAAUCUUCUUCUCAGAAACUAAUCAGCCAGGAAAGCUGAAACUUGUGUGGAAGCAUCCUCAGGUAGUGUAGAUUCAAAGUUGUGAAAAUCAUGACCCCUGGGGGUAGGGUGAGGCCACAUGGGGGGGGUGUUAAAGUUUUACAUAGGAAUAAAGAGUAAAUCUUUAAAAAUCUUCUUCUCAGAAACUAAUCAGCAAGAUGAUUCUUUUUAAUUGUUAAGACUUUGGCUCCAGGACAAUUCUUCGGCCUCACAAGAAGGUUCAGAGUUUGAUGUAGCUAAAUAUCCCAUAUAUAAACAAUUGUAAAGGAUCUUUUUGAGAACUGCAAUACUCAACAUGUGAUAUGACUAUAAAAUUGAAGCAGGCAGCUAUUUUUUCAGUAGAAUCAUUUUGUAUUACUGUUUUGGGUUAUUGCCCUUGAUUUAUUGAUUCUUGAUUAUUUUAAUUAAUGCAUCCACUGUUAACCAAUUAAUGUGAUGAUUAUUUUUAUACAAUAAUAAAUAUUCAAUGUAUAUAAGUUGUUCUGCAUAAGUAGUUUUGGGUUAGGCUGGAUUAGUUUGUUUAUUUUUGAUUUCCAAUUUUUAGAUACUAUGAAUUAUUUCAGGCUGGCACAUAUAUAGGGACAGUGUCUAUUGCAUUGCAACGAGUGGCUGUUUGGGGUUAAACUUGAACAGGUACGGAGAGAUUGAGGGUGUUGACAUCCCUGCACUUUCUAAUUUUCGUGUUUUUCUAACCAACGAUACAGAAUGUGCGGUCAUUUCUGCCCUGUAUCGCAUUGAUACAAGUGUGCGGUCAUACCUGCUUGUAUUGGUGGUGGUUGCGGCGGAGCACUAGUGUAUGGUCAUCCCUGCUGGUGUUCUGGCCUUUCUAGUGCAAGUGUGCGGCACUCCCUGCGUUAGGUUGAGCUGUUGGCGCAAGUGUGAGGUCAUCCCUGCUUGCGUUAUCUCUGCUUGCAUUAACGUUGGUACCUGUUGAGUUGCGUAGGUGUGCGGUCAUCCCUGCCUGCAUAACGUUGAGUCCCUAUAUAUGUGCAGGAGCGGUGAUUAAAGUCUGCUCUUGUAAAUAUUUUCAGCAAUCAGGGCUAUCCGAGUUCCAAGGGGGAAAAAUGGAUUUUAUUUAUACAGGAUCUACAUGUAUUAAUGUACAUUGUCCAGAUUGUAUUAUGACUCCAUUAA